rnacentral:rRNA from 1 species
CACCGGCGGCUCGAGUGGUGGCCACUUUUAUUGGGUCUAAAGCGUCCGGAGCCGGCUUGGCAAGUCCCCUGGGAAAUCUGGCGGCUUAACCGUCAGGCGUCCAGAGGAUACUGCCAGGCUUGGGACCGGGAGAGGUGAGAGGUACCUCAGGGGUAGGGGUGAAAUCUUGUGAUCCCUGAGGGACCACCAGUGGCGAAGGCGUCUCACUAGAACGGGUCCGACGGUCAGGGACGAAAGCCAGGGGCGCGAACCGG